GGGCCCGCACAAGCGGUGGAGCAUGUGGUUUAAUUCGAUGAUACGCGAGGAACCUUACCAGGGCUUAAAUGUAGUAUGACCGGUCUGGAAACAGACCUUCUCUUCGGAGCAGAUUACAAGGUGCUGCAUGGUUGUCGUCAGCUCGUGCCGUGAGGUGUUAGGUUAAGUCCUGCAACGAGCGCAACCCCUAUUCUUAGUUGCCAGCGGUUCGGCCGGGGACUCUAAGAAGACUGCCAGCGCAAGCUGAGAGGAAGGUGGGGAUGACGUCAAAUCAUUACGGCCCUUACGUCCUGGGCUACACACGUGCUACAAUGGUAGAGACAGAGGGCAGCCACCUGGUGACAGGGAGCGAAAUCCUUAAACUCUAUCUCAGUUCGGAUCGAAGUCUGCAACUCGACUUCGUGAAGCUGGAAUCGCUAGUAA
rnacentral:rRNA from 1 species